GCCGCGGCGACGCUGUCCUCGGAGGAGCUCAUACGGAUGGAGCAGGACUGCAGCGCGCACAAAUAGCGCCCGUGGUUCCGCAGUUUAUGUAUACAUCGUAGCAGUGACAGCGACUCAAUGGAGUUGGGGGCUAGCCAUCGAUCCCAUCUAGGGUCCUUAGGCGCCGCCAUCAUUGGAUCUUCUAGGCCACGGCAAGGCAUCAGAUCUUUUAGUUAAUUGUUGAAGGAUACUGCAGGUUGUUUUGCAAGGAAAA